UUGGAAACGACUGCUAAUACCGCAUAAUCUCUUCGGAGCAAAGCAGGGGACCUUCGGGCCUUGCGCGUAAAGAGUGGCCCAAGUGGGAUUAGCUAGUUGGUAAGGUAAUGGCUUACCAAGGCAACGAUCCCUAGUUGGUCUUAGAGGAUGACCAGCCACACUGGAACUGAGACACGGUCCAGACUCCUACGGGAGGCAGCAGUGGGGAAUAUUGCACAAUGGGGGAAACCCUGAUGCAGCCAUGCCGCGUGUGUGAAGAAGGCUUUCGGGUUGUAAAGCACUUUCAGUGGGGAGGAAAGGGUAUUAGUUAAUAACUGAUAUACUGUGACGUUACCCACAGAAGAAGCACCGGCUAACUCCGUGCCAGCAGCCGCGGUAAUACGGAGGGUGCGAGCGUUAAUCGGAAUUACUGGGCGUAAAGCGCGCGUAGGUGGUUAAUUAAGUCAGAUGUGAAAGCCCCGGGCUCAACCUGGGAACGGCAUUUGAAACUGGUUAACUAGAGUUUUGUAGAGGGUGGUAGAAUUUCAGGUGUAGCGGUGAAAUGCGUAGAGAUCUGAAGGAAUACCAGUGGCGAAGGCGGCCACCUGGACAAAGACUGACACUGAGGCGCGAAGGCGUGGGGAGCAAACGGGAUUAGAUACCCCGGUAGUCCACGCAGUAAACGAUGUCUAUUAGAAGUUUGUGGCUAUAUGCCGUGGGUUUCAAAGCUAACGCAUUAAAUAGACCGCCUGGGGAGUACGGCCGCAAGGUUAAAACUCAAAUGAAUUGACGGGGGCCCGCACAAGCGGUGGAGCAUGUGGUUUAAUUCGAUGCAACGCGARGACCUUACCAUCCCUUGACAUCCAGAGAAUCACCUAGAGAUAGAUGAGUGCUUCGGGAACUCUGAGACAGGUGCUGCAUGGCUGUCGUCAGCUCGUGUUGUGAAAUGUUGGGUUAAGUCCCGCAACGAGCGCAACCCUUAUCCUUACUUGCCAGCGGGUUAUGCCGGGAACUUUAGGGAGACUGCCGGUGAUAAACCGGAGGAAGGUGGGGACGACGUCAAGUCAUCAUGGCCUUACGGGAUGGGCUACACACGUGCUACAAUGGCAAAUACAAAGGGUUGCUAACCUGCGAGGGUAUGCGAAUCUCAUAAAG
rnacentral:rRNA from 1 species